rnacentral:rRNA from 1 species
GCGGGCGGCGGCUACACAUGCAGUCGAGCGCACCCUUCGGGGCGAGCGGCGGACGGGUUAGUAACGCGUGGGAACGUACCCUUUUCUACGGAAUAGCCUCGGGAAACUGAGAGUAAUACCGUAUAAGCCCUUCGGGGGAAAGAUUUAUCGGUAAAGGAUCGGCCCGCGUUAGAUUAGAUAGUUGGUGGGGUAAUGGCCUACCAAGUCUACGAUCUAUAGCUGGUUUUAGAGGAUGAUCAGCAACACUGGGACUGAGACACGGCCCAGACUCCUACGGGAGGCAGCAGUGGGGAAUCUUAGACAAUGGGCGCAAGCCUGAUCUAGCCAUGCCGCGUGUGUGAUGAAGGCCUUAGGGUCGUAAAGCACUUUCGCCAGGGAUGAUAAUGACAGUACCUGGUAAAGAAACCCCGGCUAACUCCGUGCCAGCAGCCGCGGUAAUACGGAGGGGGUUAGCGUUGUUCGGAAUUACUGGGCGUAAAGCGUACGUAGGCGGAUCAGAAAGUAGGGGGUGAAAUCCCGAGGCUCAACCUCGGAACUGCCUCCUAAACUCCUGGUCUUGAGUUCGAGAGAGGUGAGUGGAAUUCCAAGUGUAGAGGUGAAAUUCGUAGAU